AGUGAACGCUGGCGGCGUGCUUAACACAUGCAAGUCGAACGAGAACGGAUUAUAGCUUGCUAUAAUUGUCAGCUAAGUGGCGCACGGGUGAGUAAUGUAUAGGUAAUAUGCCUCUUACUAAGGGAUAACAAAUGGAAACGUUUGCUCAUACCUUAUACUCCUUAUUAACAUAAGUUAAUAAGGGAAAGAUUUAUUGGUAAGAGAUUAGCCUGUAUUUUAUCAGUUAGUUGGUGGGGUAAUGGCUUACCAAGACUAUGACACAUAACUGGUUUGGGGGGAUGACCAGUAACACUGGAACUGAGACACGGACCAGACCACUACGGGAGGCUGCAGUCUGGAAUCUUCCACAAUGCACGAAAGUGUGAUGGAGCGACGCCGCGUGCCGAAAGAAGGCCUUCGGGUUGUAAACGGCUUUUAUCAGGGACGAAUACUGACGGUACCCGAAGAAUAAGGGGUUGCUAACUCUGUGCCAGCAGCCGCCGUAA
rnacentral:rRNA from 1 species